ACGACAUGUGCAGUCUAAUGGUCUCUGUUGAUCCAUUUGCUGUCUGUGAAACUCCAGAAGUCAGGCUUUGAAUUAUGCAUUGGCCCACACUGACUACUUUCCAUUUCCCAAGACUUUUUGAACGCAAUCAAUGAGAAUAAAGCAGAGAAAACAGUGGGCAUGAGGUCACAUGACUCAGGCUUGAGUACUGAUCACAUCAAGGACUGUACGCAUUGCUCUUAGGAAGGCACAACUUCUACUGCUUUCAGUCUUAUCAACUGUGAGAGGUAAUAAUGAUACCUGCAGAUUAUCU
rnacentral:lncRNA from 1 species